rnacentral:rRNA from 1 species
GACCAUAUUCGGUUGGAUUCCACUGCUUAUGAUUGGGGAUUCGGUCCCUUCUCUCCUUCCUGAUCUUCUUCGUAUGUACCCAAGUUUCCUAGCAGGCUUAGCCUUGCCAGCUGUGUGUCACGAACCUACUAACCCCUAUUAUAAUUUGUAAAUGUCCAGCGUUCUGAAAAAGUUUAAUACAUUACUAACUUUCAAAUCAACGGAUCUCCUCUGGCUUCUAGGCAUCAGACUGUAAGAACUGCAGCGAAAUGCGAUAAGUAGCUGUGAAUUGCAGAAUUCAGUGAAUCAUCGAAUCUUUGAACGCACAUUGCGCCCCUUGGUAUUCCAUGGGGCAUGCCUGUUCGAGCGUCAUUUGUACCCUCAAGCUCUGCUUGGUGUUGGGUGUCUGUCCUAUUCUUUGCAAUAGGACUCGCCUUAAAACAAUUGGCAGCCAGUGUUUUGGCAUUGAAGCGCAGCACAUUUUGCAAUUCAAUGCCCUAGCACUUGCGUCCAUAAAGCGUAUUUUACACUUUUGACCUCGGAUCAUGGUAGGGAUACCCGCUGAACUUAAGCAUAUCAAU